UACGUAGGUGGCAAGCGUUGUCCGGAUUUAUUGGGCGUAAAGCGAGCGCAGGCGGUUCCUUAAGUCUGAUGUGAAAGCCCACGGCUCAACCGUGGAAGGCCAUUGGAAACUGGGGAACUUGAGUGCAGAAGAGGAGAGUGGAAUUCCAUGUGUAGCGGUGAAAUGCGUAGAUAUAUGGAGGAACACCAGUGGCGAAGGCGACUCUAUGGUCUGUAACUGACGCUGAGGCUCGAAAGCGUGGGGAGCAAACAGGAUUAGA
rnacentral:rRNA from 1 species